UUAAAACCAUCAGAAAUCACAGAUAUUUACACUACGAUUCCUAACUGUAGCAAAUUACAGUUAUAAGGUAGUAAAAAUAAUUUUAUGGUUGGGGGGAGGGUCGUCACCACAACAUGAGGAACUAUAUUAAAGGGUCCUGGUACCAGGAAGGUUGAGAACCUCUGCGCCAUUGUCUUCACGUCCCUGAUAUGCACAGGGACCUGCACCAGUGGCUCAUGUGAGCUAGUGCACAGGGGACUUGUCCUCUCAUGUCACCUCCCUCUGUGUAGCCCUUGUCUCAAGCAUGGAUGAGUACUUAUAUUACACAACGUCCCUGCUUCUGCAACUCUCGGACCUGUCUUCUCCCCUUCCCCACAUCUCACAGCCUCGUGAACCAGGCACUGAGGAACUCCUUUGCUUAUGUAAAGCCUUUCCUGGUUCAGGCAGUUCAGAGGCAGAAAAAAAAAAUGCCCUGAUUAUCGUAGCUUCCUGCUCUGAGUCACUAGUAAACCUCCUGCCUGCAUGCUGAAUCACAGGAUUUUUCUCUUCCUCUGUGGUAAAUGUCAAGCCUGUAGGUAUCCGCUAUUAUUUCUGCCUCCGUCUUCCUCCUCGCUAUCUGACUCUUCUCAGAGAUUCCAAGUUUGGGGGUCCCAAGAAGGGCUUUUAGCACAUACUCGGUUCUCUUUCUCUUGAACUCUACACACUGCAAGAAAAGCCAACUGUGCCCUUACCUCACCCUCUCGUUUUGCUGCGUUUUCCUGUCAAGUAAAAAGAUAAGUCCAUCUAUCUUCAUCUUGUAAUUCCUUUCACUACAACUUACAAGAGUGUGUGUUCUUUCUGAGCAGACAGCCAAGCCUCAGUUAUAUGCUCUCGUAUGCCUUGCUACCCACAGAAAAGGCCACGUAACUGUGACCACGGCUGCCUCUGACUCCAUUCUAUCCGAUAGUGCUUUCAACAGACGUAGUACUUUCUGGAGUCCGUCAGCCACCGUGUGCAUCUCCGCGCUCAAACACUAGACCACAUUCAUCAAGGACGAGUACCGUCAUGUGCGGCGCAGAGGAAGAUGCCCACCCUGGUAUUACCACAAAGAUGCUCGACCCUCAGAUGACUCAGCCUUGAUCACGUGGCUGAUUAGCAACAUCGGGGUGCGCGCAACCGCUACUGCUGCAAAGAGGAGUGAAGGAUCGUGCACAGGAUCAUGGAUGGUUGCAGGUUGCUGCAUCACCAAAAGCCCACGGACGAUUCAUGAGGAUUCACAAAGUUGUAUCCCUAGAUUUCCUGGACCAGCUCGCAGAAAGCUCUACCAAAACUCGCCUCACUCCUAGCAAAUGUUUACUGUUAUCAUAACCCUGAGAAGGACUCUCACAAGCCUUGUAACAGCCUGAGCUUCCUCAUCCUCUUGAGACUCCUUCCAAGAGUGUGGUGGUUCGAAUGGAAAUGGCCUCAUAGGCUCAGGCAUUAUUGAAGGUGUGGCUCUGUUGGAGUGGGCGUGGCCUUGUUGGCGGAAGUGGGUCACAGGGGGUGGGGCUUUGAGUUUUCACAAGCCAAGCCCAGAAUUACUCUUUAUGAUACUUGUGGAUCGAGAUAUAGAACUCUCCAGUACCAUAUCUGCCUGCAUGCCCCCAUGCCUCCUGAUAUUACAAUAGUGGACUAAACCUCUGAACUGUCAGUCAGCCCCAAUUAAAUGUUUUCCUUUAUAAGACCUU